CAGCAUCUUCCUUGUACUUGGAAGCUCACAACUGGGAAUACACCAGAUGGGAUCUAACAACUCACAGAGGGAUAACAGUUUCCCUCGAACUGUUGGCACAGCCUGAUGAUGAGAAGAUGACUUUAUCCAGGAACUCUCCACCACUGCUGAAGGAGAUAAAGGCUAAAGACUCUCAUCUGUCCCCAAAAAGCAGGAAGCACAGCCAUGGAUGAGAAAUGACCCAGCUAUCUGGAGCAGAAAUGGAAGCACCCCAGGAAACAUCUGUAGAGGCCUCCAGGACUGUAGGCAGCAAGGGGGGGUUCUGGAGGAGGCUCCAAAGUCCUGCACACAGCAGACAACCCUCAAAGUAUGGAAAAAAAGCCACCUUCUUGUGCCAAACCAAGCUGGGCUGGAUGGCCCCAUCCACGCUCCCUGGAACAGCCCUGGUCCAAUCCUGAUUCCUCAGAGGGGUUGGCAUUGGCAGCUGGAUUAUCGUGGUGCCUUGAGAAAGAACUUCUGCACAGCAUUUUUCAUGUAGGCAGAAGCUGUUAGCGCUGAAAACCUUCCCAAAAAAGGAUUCCCCUGAGCUGCACACCGUGACUGCCGCCUUGACGUUCUGCCGAGCUGACAUCCCAACCGGUGUGACACUGAUGCCUUUGGGCAGAAAUCAGAGCCGGUUUGCUGCAUGGCUCUGUGCAGCCACGGUGCCUGUAGCGCCUCAGAGAGCCCCCAGUGCCCUGCUGGGGAAAUGGAGCGAGCACGUGGGCCCCAGAUGAACCCGGAGCGGAGCGCGGGCGUUAUCCACAGCUGUCCCACUGCCCGUUCCCAGUUUUAAGUGUCCACAUUGACAUGGGUUUAUGUCUUUUUUUUUUCCCCUCCCUUUUCUCUCCCUUUUUGCCUUGCCUGUGAGAGGGUUGGUUUCCUGUUUCUCCCCCCGGCUGCAGGGUCCUUGGGGACCUGGGUUUCCGUGAGCUGGAAAAGGAGCGCACAAGCGUCUGAUCAGCCCUUAUUAGUGUUGAGAAAGACCUAAUGGUUCCUGGCUUCUGGGACCAUUACCUGUCAUUUACUUUUAUUAAGUCGGUGAUGAGAAAGUUUAAAAUUAAAGGCUUUGUAAAUUGGAUUCCAGUUCUAAAGGGAGGCACCGACCAGGAAUUCAGUGCCAAAGCCUGCAGAUGGGCUGCUGGGAACAACACCGGGCUGGGGCGUUUGUGUUCAGCUGCUUUGGCAAAGGUCCUGUGCCAGGGCAUGGAGGGGGAGGUAGUUUGGGCAAAGCCUUGGGGUAUCUAUCAGCUAUAUGAACCAUGUAAUCCUUCCUUUGCCAGGCUACUUGUGUCCAGACCUCCAGCUCCUGGUCAGGAGGAAGGGUGGUCUUCUGGUCGAGCCAUUACCCAGCCUGUGAGUUCUGUUCCAGCUGAAAUGAUCCCAGGCAGGCAUAGCAGCUCCUGGACUUCAGCUAAUUGCACCAUUCCCUUGCAGGAGGAGUGAUGCCUCUCCCAAGUUUCCCUGUGAGGAGCUGAUCUAUGAGCUAUUCUGUGGUUACUUACAUCAUUCCUGCGUUCCCAGCCCUGCGACCCGACCGCAAGGCUCUCAGAAGGGUGUGCAACGGCCCAUCCUUCCUUCUGUCAGUGCUUCCCGGAUUCCAAAAACACGGAGAAGGAGAUAAACUCCAGCAAUGUGUUUUCCAAAUAGACUAUGAAAAAAAAAAGGAGAAUUAAAGACAAGUGUGAAGCCUCCUCCAGCUCCUCCUGUCGUUUGGGCAAUGCUCGUGCCACGUGUCAGGACAAACAGAGGAGACAUCUGGAACGGGUUCAUGAAAGUUCCUCUGUCUGGUUCAGCUCCUGGUCACACGGAGUUUUCCUGGCACAAACGAGUGGAAAGAGCACUUUGGCAUGGAGGGGAAAUGAGCAGCAGAGGGUGAAAGGAAUUAAAGCUUCAGCUAAUGUGGCUGUUUCUGAAGUGACAGAGGAAACCUUCACAGCUGGGCGAAUCUCUCUUCUGGAAGAAAUAUCCAG